rnacentral:lncRNA from 1 species
UUUUCUCUCGCAGGCCAAUUUUCUUAGACUGAAACAUUACAAAUUUGCAUACUGCAUGUUUAUUGUGAGAUAAUAAAAAAAUCGCAUACUGCAUGUUUAUUGUGAGAUAAUAAAAAAAUCGCAGAAUAUACAUUAAGUAUCGGAUGCAUAUGAAAAUCAUAGCACAUGAUCUAUACUUUUGUAGUCGACAACAUUUUUAUUUGAUGCCGUUUAGUGCCCAAAUAAUGGUUUCACACAAAAAGGGUCGAAGAAAAAAAAUCCCAUUACUAUGAAGCAUUAGUGUCAAGAGAGAUAGAAUGAGAAAUUCCCUAGAAUCUAGAGGUACCAGAGAUUCGACUCCCACAAACUACACUCAUUUGAAAAACGGCCUUACUUGUGACAGAUUGCCCGGGGGCAAUAAAUUUUUCCCAUUUUCUGGCUCACUGCUGGUCUGCCUGGUCAGUUGUGUGAUAAACCUAUCACUGUGACAACUCCCAGAUUUAAAAAUUCCAAUAAAGAGGAAAAAAGUAUAGCCACCCGAGCUGAGACAAUGCACCUGAGCAUGCCUGUACAGUAUGCAUGUAGCUCGAACAAGAAUGAAUGCAUAUGCCACCAGUCAAGGAAACCAAGCUCAGCAUCUGCUGCCAUGGAAUGAAGCCAGGUCCAUCCCUACUUCAUAGGCCAUGCAGCUUCUCAGAAUCAGACAUCUGCUAAAGCUUCUGCUCUCCACGACGGCACCCUGAAAAUUUCAGAGGCAUUGAAAUCCUCCAAAAUCCUACAACACGGUGGGGUUGUGUGCACCCCCUCGCUCACGUUUCCUUGUUCGGCACCACCGCAUAGAACAGUUGAGGGGUGCAUCAUGGAGAAAAGAUCUACACUAACCAAUCCUUUUGACCUGAAAAUGAACGUGCGGCACCAUCAGUAAUGCAAUUGCACUAACCAAUCGCGUGCGAUCAAUUAAAAAUUACUCAUAUGAAAACGAGGUAUGCUUGCCUGUAUGUAUGUGUGUAUCAAACUCUAAUUUCAUGAGCACAAACCCUUCAGCAGACAUGCUGCUCGUCAGAAUUAGAUUCCUCCUCCUGCUGUUCUCCACCACGGCAGCCAACCAUGCAACCAGAGAAACAUCUUUGACAGGCCACAGG